rnacentral:rRNA from 1 species
AGAUUGAACGCUGGCGGCAUGCCUUACACAUGCAAGUCGAACGGUAGAGUAGCAAUACUUGAGAGUGGCGAACGGGUGAGUAAUAUAUCGGAACGUGCCCAGUCGUGGGGGAUAACGUAGAGAAAUUUACGCUAAUACCGCAUACGAUCUAAGGAUGAAAGCGGGGGACCGUAAGGCCUCGCGCGAUUGGAGCGGCUGAUAUCAGAUUAGGUUGUUGGUGAGGUAAAAGCUCACCAAGCCGACGAUCUGUAGCUGGUUUGAGAGAACGACCAGCCACACUGGGACUGAGACACGGCCCAGACUCCUACGGGAGGCAGCAGUGGGAAUUUGGACAAUGGGCGAAAGCCUGAUCCAGCAAUGCCGCGUGCAGGAAGAAGGCCUUACGGGUUGUAAACGUGCUUUUAGUACGGAACGUAACGGUCUGACUUAAUACAGUGGCUAAUGACGUACCGUAAGAAUAAGC